ACAACAUUCGGAACAUCGGUCUAUCGAACAAUAUCAUCCGUUCGGUGGUAAAUCUUUCCUUUGUCGU
rnacentral:pre_miRNA from 1 species